AUUGAACGCUGGCGGCAGGCCUAACACAUGCAAGUCGAGCGGAUGAAGGGAGCUUGCUCCUGGAUUCAGCGGCGGACGGGUGAGUAAUGCCUAGGAAUCUGCCUGGUAGUGGGGGAUAACGUCCGGAAACGGGCGCUAAUACCGCAUACGUCCUGAGGGAGAAAGGGGGGGAUCUUCGGACCUCACGCUACCAGAUGAGCCUAGGUCGGAUUAGCUAGUUGGUGGGGUAAAGGCCUACCAAGGCGACGAUCCGUAACUGGUCUGAGAGGAUGAUCAGUCACACUGGACCUGAGACACGGUCCAGACUCCUACGGGAGGCAGCAGUGGGGAGUAUUGGACAAUGGGCGAAAGCCUGAUCCAGCCAUGCCGCGUGUGUGAAGAAGGUCUUCGGAUUGUAAAGCACUUUAAGUUGGGAGGAAGGGCAGUAAGUUAAUACCUUGCUGUUUUGACGUUACCCACAGAAUAAGCACCGGCUAACUUCGUG
rnacentral:rRNA from 1 species